rnacentral:rRNA from 1 species
AGAGUUUGAUCCUGGCUCAGGAUAAACGCUAGCGGCAGGCUUAACACAUGCAAGUCGAGGGGCAGCGAGGAGUAGCAAUACUCUGUCGGCGACCGGCGCAAGGGUGCGUAACGCGUGAGCAACUUGCCCUGGACAGGGGGAUAAGCAUUGGAAACGAUGUCUAAUACCCCAUAACAACAGACCUUACAUGGGGUUUGUUUGAAAGGUAUUUAUACCGGUUUAGGAUGGGCUCGCGUAACAUUAGUUAGUUGGUAGGGUAACGGCCUACCAAGACUACGAUGUUUAGGGGAACUGAGAGGUUGGUCCCCCACACUGGAACUGAGACACGGUCCAGACUCCUACGGGAGGCAGCAGUGAGGAAUAUUGGUCAAUGGCCGGAAGGCUGAACCAGCCAUGCCGCGUGAAGGAAUGAGGCCCUAUGGGUCGUAAACUUCUUUUGUAAGGGAGCAAUAAGGGUUAUGUAUAGCCCGAUGAGAGUACCUUAUGAAUAAGCAUCGGCUAACUCCGUGCCAGCAGCCGCGGUAAUACGGAGGAUCCGAGCGUUAUCCGGAUUUAUUGGGUUUAAAGGGAGCGUAGAUGGAUGUUUAAGUCAGUUGUGAAAGUUUGCGGCUCAACCGUAAAAUUGCAGUUGAUACUGGAUGUCUUGAGUGCAGUUGAGGCAGGCGGAAUUCGUGGUGUAGCGGUGAAAUGCUUAGAUAUCACGAAGAACUCCGAUUGCGAAGGCAGCCUGCUAAGCUGCAACUGACAUUGAGGCUCGAAAGUGUGGGUAUCAAACAGGAUUAGAUACCCUGGUAGUCCACACGGUAAACGAUGAAUACUCGCUGUUUGCGAUAUACGGCAAGCGGCCAAGCGAAAGCGUUAAGUAUUCCACCUGGGGAGUACGCCGGCAACGGUGAAACUCAAAGGAAUUGACGGGGGCCCGCACAAGCGGAGGAACAUGUGGUUUAAUUCGAUGAUACGCGAGGAACCUUACCCGGGCUUAAAUUGCACUCGAAUGAUCCGGAAACGGUUCAGCUAGCAAUAGCGAGUGUGAAGGUGCUGCAUGGUUGUCGUCAGCUCGUGCCGUGAGGUGUCGGCUUAAGUGCCAUAACGAGCGCAACCCUUGUUGUCAGUUACUAACAGGCGAUGCUGAGGACUCUGACAAGACUGCCAUCGUAAGAUGUGAGGAAGGUGGGGAUGACGUCAAAUCAGCACGGCCCUUACGUCCGGGGCUACACACGUGUUACAAUGGGGGGUACAGAGGGCCGCUACCACGCGAGUGGAUGCCAAUCCCUAAAACCCCUCUCAGUUCGGACUGGAGUCUGCAACCCGACUCCACGAAGCUGGAUUCGCUAGUAAUCGCGCAUCAGCCACGGCGCGGUGAAUACGUUCCCGGGCCUUGCACACACCGCCCGUCA